UACGUAGGGCGCAAGCGUUGUCCGGAAUUAUUGGGCGUAAAGAGCUCGUAGGCGGUUUGUCACGUCGGGUGUGAAAGCCCGGGGCUUAACCCCGGGUCUGCAUUCGAUACGGGCAGACUAGAGUGUGGUAGGGGAGAUCGGAAUUCCUGGUGUAGCGGUGAAAUGCGCAGAUAUCGGGAGGAACACCAACAGCGAAGGCAGAUCUCUGGGACGUUACUGACGCUGAGACGCGAAAGCGUGGGGAGCAAACAGG
rnacentral:rRNA from 1 species